UAAAUUGCUGGAUUUUUGGACUUUGUCCAUCGUCUGAUAUUAAAAAAAAAAACACACGACGUUUCAGAAAUUGGAUGUUUUCGUCAUCAGGUAAAAUUAACAGUAAUUGAGGUUAUCUACCAUUCGUCGUAAAAUACGUUCAUCACAACAGCAUAAAAUACGGUACUAGUAGGGCCAACAUAACAACCUAGAACUUCAUGACUCAAUUGUUACAGUGUACCCAAUCACACUUGAAGUUACCAAAUAACUACUUCUGUAACCGUGCCCUGAUAAUAAAUAAUGUAACACUGAAUUGCAUUGUUGAAAGGUUUCCGUAGAAACAGACUAGUUAUUCAGAUGACAACAUAAUAAUACUGCUUUUGUGAUAUGGUUUGUGUGUGGAGAACUGUCAUGCAAAAUGAAAUAUUUAUCUGAGGAAACAUGUCCAUGGUCAUGGAGUCUAAAUCCUCAUGAGCGGAGAAACUAUCUCCUACAGGAAGUAGAGAGCACACAAACACCAAAGGUCAGCUACGAGAAUCUUGCAAAAUGGUUAGCAAUUGCAGAAGAUGUGCAGAUUGUCUGUGAUUUGUGUUCUGGUGUGGAUGAUGCCAGAAGAACGAGAGACCAGGAAGAAGCAGAGGAGGAUGGGCCUGGGUUUGGCACAGAAAAUGAGUUGACUGCCAUUGGAUGUGAUACAGACAGGAUUAUGAAAAGUGGCCUGCCUUUCGAUGAAGAAGAAAUCCUUCUUAGUUCGCAGUUUGAGAAUAUGAAGCCCCAUUGUAAGACGACAGCUGCUGUCAUCGAGGAGAAAAGGGACGAGCGUAUUGUAAUAGCAACACAGCUGGAUGUGGAUAAGGUGGAGGACGAGAUGCAGGAGAUGCAGCGGCAGAAUGAGAUUGAAUCGGGGAUUGACAUUGAGGAGAGCUUCAUGGAAUCUGAGCACGAAACAUAUGAGGCUGAUGAGUUGAGUGAGCAACUGGAAGAGAAGCUGGAGGCUAUGAAGAAGGGUGACGUAGACGUUCUCGGAAUAGCUUGCAAUAGUGAUGAAGGCUCCCAGAGUAUUGUCUUGUCUCAAUACAUGGAUUCUGUGGCUAACAGGACGAAUGAUUACGUAAGAUACGAACGUAAAAUUCUGAUGAGCGUGAUGGAACAGCAGGCUGCGUAUAGGCAGUUACAUUACGCAUCUACAAGCAGUCAGAGUAAUAUUGAUGUUGAAGGGAACAUGUCGCAGAUGAGUUCACAAGGUUAUUCUAGUGUUAAUGCAGAACAUGAAACACUUCAUAGGAAAAGAAAGGCGGCGAGUUUGGAGCCGUAUUUUGCGAAGAAGGCGGCUGUCAUGAAAGAGCGUGGGAACAUGGUGAUUGGAAGGAUACCACAACAGCGAGCAUUCUUAGAAGACUUGAGGGACAGAAAACGGCGACUCGAGGAACAGAACAUUGAGCUGCAAAAUGAAUUGGAUUCGUGCAGUGACAUGGAGAAACAAUUAACGUUGCUGAAGCGGUUAGCGGUUGAGGCUUAUGAUGUGAGUGAGCAACUGGAAGAAGAGGUGGAUUCUCUGGGGAUGGCUGGUGUAUAUGUGAUAUAUUCUGAUUGUCAGAAAGGCUCUUGGUUGAGCGAGGAACGCGACGCUCUAAGUAAUAUGAUCGAGAGGAUAGAAGAAAACAUCGGAAACGUACAUGAUUGUCUUCUGUUGAAAGUCGAGAAUCAGCAGGCUGCAUUGAGUGAAUUACAUUUCCAGUCUUCGAGCGUUCAGGCGGAUCUUGCCGCUCAAAGGGACGUCCUACGAAUGGGAUUACGAGAUCGUGCCGGUGUCGACGCAGAACUUGAAGAGCUCCGCGAUAGAGAGAAGAAAGCUGAAGAAAUAGGAAUUGAAUGUGACAGGAUGGCGGAUGCUUUGGGAACGUUUGACAGUGUUACGGUGCCUCUUCUUAACGAGCUGAUUCCAGUCGCAGUGGAAGAACACUGCAACUUCAGAGAGCUUCUUAUUUUCUCAGAGGCAGUGUUAUUGUCCAUGGAGUUCAAACUGAUGGCCAGAAGAACGAGAGACCAGGAAGAAGCAGAGGAGGAUGGGCCUGGGUUUGGCACAGAAAAUGAGUUGACUGCCAUUGGAUGUGAUACAGACAGGAUUAUGAAAAGUGGCCUGCCUUUCGAUGAAGAAGAAAUCCUUCUUAGUUCGCAGUUUGAGAAUAUGAAGCCCCAUUAUAAGACGACAGCUGCUGUCAUCGAGGAGAAAAGGGACGAGCGUAUUGUAAUAGCAACACAGCUGGAUGUGGAUAAGGUGGAGGACGAGAUGCAGGAGAUGCAGCGGCAGAAUGAGAUUGAAUCGGGGAUUGACAUUGAGGAGAGCUUCAUGGAAUCUGAGGAGGAAACAGAUGAGGCUGCUAAUGUAAAAUGUAGCUUCUGGAGAUGAGCCUGGUUAAAUUUUCUCGCUUAUUCUGAUCUUUGAGAGACUCCCUCUUCUUAUUCCUCAGAGUUCUGCUGUUUCCUCCGUCUUACCAGGAUAGAGCAUUCUUCGUUGAACCGUGCUCUAUUUCGCAAAAUUUUAUGAUUCGUCACUAAUUACGGAAAUGAACGGAAGUGGUUCAUUUUAAUGCGCUGAGACUGAUUUGCCUUGUGCUUUCCAGUUUUAUUUAUUCGUCCGCCCACAAAGUUAACAGACGAAUAAAUGAAAUGAUGACCAAUAAUUGUGAUGGAGAAAAUUUAGUAACAAUAUUGACAAUGCUUAAAAUCAUUACCUGAGUGAAUGUCGUCAGAGAGACUUCGUAGAACAUGCCUGCGCUGAGGUGCACAGGUUUUUGGGCCCUCAUGAUUACCACAGACAGGAGAAACUUGAAGCUUGGGGGGUGGUGAUACCAGUUGCACCCGUAGGCUGCUUGCUGCACUGCCAAGCUCUGCAAGCCACAAGAAUUUAUCUCGUCUUACUGAGACACCGCGAGCGAAACAGAGGAGCGACUCAUCAACGAGGCGUGGAAGAAAUUACUUGACCUCUCACCUCCUGCAUGAUGUCAGUGCCGAACCAGCAGAACACGAGCGGCCCGCAAGCUGCCGCGGCCAGUCCCAGGACGAACUUGAGCACGCUUUUCCCCUGACCCCAACUCUGCAGCAGAAGACAGAAACUGACUCAUCACGUGCUCACUGCGAAUCUAAGAUCAGUUCUUUGCUGUGGAGAUUUCCAUCAGGAUUUUAUAUAACUAAACAGUUUUAGCGCUGUUUCCAGAGCUGUGCUUUCCACGAGAGCUGGUGAUUGGUAUUUUAAUUCCAUGCUAUUAAUAUCAUCAUGAUUGAUAAUGUGUGAUAUUUUAAAUAUGGCAUCUUCUUAAAAAUAAACAUACUUCGCUAAUGCAA